rnacentral:rRNA from 1 species
UACGGAGGGGGCUAGCGUUGUUCGGAAUUACUGGGCGUAAAGCGCACGUAGGCGGCACGUUAAGUCGGGUGUGAAAGCCCUGGGCUCAACCCCAGGAAGUGCAUUCGAAACUGGCGCGCUUGAAUAUGGAAGAGGGUCGCGGAAUUCCCGGUGUAGAGGUGAAAUUCGUAGAUAUCGGGAGGAACACCAGUGGCGAAGGCGGCGACCUGGGCCAAUAUUGACGGCUGAGGUGCGAAAGCGUGGGGAGCAAACAGGG